rnacentral:lncRNA from 1 species
UUAAAAUGAGAAAAGUGAUCGUUUAGGUUAGAAUUGCGUACUUUAAUGUCAGCCUGGCUGAAGAACUUUGCCAGUGCUGCGGGGAGUGAUUACUACACAUGCUUGGUUCCCACGGCGGGGGCUCCACCAAAGGCCAGUCUGGCAGCACCUGAAAUGGGGCUGAGCGCUGGGCAGCAUUUCAGCGCUGAUCCUCCUUCAGACAGUGUCAUCCAUGAUCCCAGGUCAGGGUGCUGACAAGGACAGUUAAUGGAUAAGUAGAUUUGCUGGAGGGCAAAUAUUGUCCUUUUGGCUUAUUUAAAUUUUCUGUUUUUCUUUGUGAAAGAAUAUGAGAUCUUUCCAAAUGAUAAAAAGGCAAUAGCCAUUACUUUCAUGCAUGUACAUAUUUGCUUAUUUAUUUAUUUAGAGACAGGGUCUUGCUCUGUCACCCAGGCUGGAGUGCAGCUCGAGCACAGUGGCACUGUGCACAUAGCUCACUGCAGCCUCAUCCUCCCAGGCUCAAGCAAUCCUCCUGCCUCAGCUUCCUGAGCAUCUGGCACUCCAGGGGCACACCACCAUGCCUGGCUAAUUUUUUGAAAAUUAAAACCAAAAAUUCAUAAGGAUGAGGUGUCACCAUGUUGCCCAGGCUGCCAUUACUUUGAAAUAACAAGGCAAAAUUGAAAAAUGCCCCAGCGUGGUUUUCUCUGCCUUUACUCGGUCACGUGGAUAGAAACUUCCAUGGCACAGGGGCUGUUCUCAGGGACGAGGCUCCCAGGAAGCCAAUUAGUGUUUCCUUCCCCUUCAGCCACAUUCCUAGCUAAUGAUGCUGUUAAGUACCAGCCUUCUCCCUGCUCCCUUACUGUUCUGAAUCACAUUGCUGGCUUUAAAAGUGUUUAAUGUAUACCCAAACCUUUGCUUUCAUCUUAUGCAUUAAAAGCAGAAAUGUUAUAUUUUUAAGAGAGACAUCAAAAAGGGAAGAUGUGAGGAUGCAACAGGCUCCCCUUGCUCCAGAAUCCCCCGAGAGGCUGAUUCUCUUCUGUACGUUGUCUUCACUUUGGCUGCAGUGGCCUCUCACAGCUCCCAUCAGUGGACCUGAAGGGGCUUCAUCUCUUGACCUGGGGCCAGGAGCUCUGCAUGCAGAAUGACAGAGGACCCUGGAGAGGCCAGACGGCCAUUCACUGUGGGCCUUGUCAGUGUCUUUCUUCACCCUGGGUUUUACUGAAACUCUCUAAAAAUAAGCAAAGAUUUCCAGGGAAAUCAGCUGCCUCUGGAGGUGUGGACACCUGAACUACUUUAGAAAGUACCAGGACUGCUGUCUCUGAAACCAGAGAGGCAGGACAGUGGCGGGGCACCCCCUGACUUCACAGGGGCCACGUGGUCAGGGCUGGCGAAUUGGCCAGGUGCCAAGGUGGCCUUGUGCCAAGGACUGUUGUGGGUGGACACCACUCUCAGUGCACGCUGGCCAUGCCGUGCAGUGUUUUUGGAAAUGAAGAGCGGUUCAUUUCCUCCCACCUGAGGAAGUUCAGCCACUCAGGUGCAGAGAGGGCCUUGCUGAAUCCACUGAGCUCUGUCAGUUGGAGCCGGUCUGGGUGUGGAAAGAGAUGGGCAGACAGCCAUGGAACCCGUGAUCUCUGUGCAUCCUCAUCCAUGCAAGCCCUGCCUCUCAAAUUCCAGGGUUUGGAUCCUUGAUACAUCUCUACCAGGCUGCAGCAGCGUGGGUGCUGCUGUCCCAUGUGCCGGUGGAGGGCCUGAGUGUCGCAGACCAGCUCACUGAAGGUUUCUGGCAGCCCGCCUGGACGCAGAGAGCACUCUGAACCAGCGCCUCGAGCAAUGCUGUGCCCCGUGGGCGACCCAUGGAGCCAAGGGGUGGAGGUAGGAGAGGCUCCUCUUAUCCCCAUCCACAGCAUUGGUUUGGUGACGGGUAUAUCUUCUCCCCACGACUCUGAGCUUUUUAGAUUGUAAAGUCCUGGCUCUGGAGGGGUCGUGCUUCCGUGGGAGACACAGCACAGGUCUCAUUCAACUUCAUGGGUAGCUGCCACCAGGUCACAUCUGGCUUCUGAGCUAAGAGGCCAGCAGGCCGGGGAGAAAGCCCCACACUGGCAGGGCCUGGAGGAGGCAGAAGGCGGAAAGGAGAGAGCAUGGGGCAUGUCCUGGCACGGUGGGAGUGUCAGUGCAUGAACGGCAUGACGAGGGCAGCCUCUAAUUCCCCCCGGGAGCCGCCUCUCUCACGGAGCUGCUGUCCAAGGGUGGAGGGAUCUGGAGUGGGAAUCUGCAGCUGGUCCCACUGAACCCUCUGCUGUGAGUUUCCCGGGUAAAGAGACCCGCCAGGGCAUGGAGGAGCUGCUGGCACCCGGGCCCCACUGCUGUUUGAGGGAUGUGGGGACUGUGAUGGAUGGUGUGGUGCCCGGCCUGGGGCCCCGAAGGGCCGAGGGGCUGGGAGUCGCUGCUGAUGGCUCACAGCCAGGCUGUCUUGGGACGCCUUUUGCCCUUCCCGAGUGUAUGCCUCCGCCUGGGAACGCUCCAGCCAAUGGCUAAUCUAUGCGGUGGUCUGAAGGCCUGGCCCCUUGCCCCAGUUGGAGACCCCUCUGAGGGCAAUUCCAGCUUCCCAGCUCCCAGGGUCGGCCGAGGCUGGGGCUGCAACGGCAUUGCAGCCCCUUGCUCCUGCCGUGCGAGAUGCCUGCUCCCUCUUUACCUUCCACCAUGAAUAAAAGUUCCCUGAGGCACCCCCGAGAAGAAGCCACCAUGCUUCCUGUACAGCCUGCAGAACUGUGAGCCAACUAAACUGCUUUUCUUUAUAAAUUACCCAGUCUCAGGUAUUUCUUUAUAGCAAUGCUAGAAUGGACUAAUAUAAUACCAUUUGACAAAUGAGGAAAAUGCUAGAAUAUUUAAGUGAGUUAAAAAAACUUUUUUUUUUUGAGAUGGAGUAUCGCUCUGUCACCCAGG